rnacentral:rRNA from 1 species
UACAGAGGGGGCAAGCGUUGUUCGGAAUUACUGGGCGUAAAGGGCGCGUAGGUGGCCUUCUAAGUUGAACGUGAAAUCCCUGGGCUCAACCCAGGAACUGCGUCCAAGACUGGGAGGCUUGAAUCCGGGAGAGGGAUGCGGAAUUCCGGGUGUAGUGGUGAAAUGCGUAGAGAUCCGGAGGAACACCAGUGGCGAAGGCGACACGCUGGGCCGUACCUGACACUGAGGCGCGAUAGCAUGGGGAGCAAACAGG